AGGUUGUGUUGAGGACACCUCCUCAAUAGCUUUUUGAACCUCUCCCAAGCUUCAUAGAGGUUUUCACUUUCAGAUUGAGUAAAGGUCAUGAUCUCAAUCCUUAUCUU